UUCUUUGAAUUUUUUUAGUAUAUAUAUGAUUGCCAAAUCAUAAAGUAUACUGUGUAAUUGUUAUCAGUGUGACAUCUUUUUUUUUCCCUCUAGCCUUCCCUGGUGGUUAUAGGAAACCCUGGGGUCUCCUUGGGUCUGUGGCCACCUUCUGGCCCUUCUAGUUCACGUCCUGCUUGCUUGGCCGGCCCAAUUGGGCCCCUUGGAACACGUCCACACCACGAGACGGGAGGGGAGGGGCACUGACGCCUCCCCUCCCAGCGACCCUGUGUGGGGAGGCCCGAACAGAGCCUUAUUUUGUGCUCACAUCUUAUUUGUGUGCUGGUUUUACUUAUUUCAUAUCUGCAUUUCUUUGUGUGUAUAUUUUCACUAUCCUUGUCAUUUUUCAGUGCCUGUAUAGCAUUCUUUCCUGAUAAUACACACCAGUGUCCCACUAGGAUUGUUUUAAUUUUUCCUCAUAAUUAAUAGUAAUGCUAUGUACAUUUUUAUAUGCUUUUACCUUUUUUUUCACUUUAUAUUAUUCCCUUGGGCCAAAUUUACCUAAAUGUAGUUACCAGGUCCAAAAGUACAGCUGGAACCAUAACUCACCUUAUUGUUAGACUGCUUUUCAGAAAAAUCAAAUUUGUAGGAUUGUCACCACUGUAGAGUUCAAAUGUUUCCCUACAUCUGGGCAACACUGGAUUUUUAUCAUUUUAUUCCUUUUUUCUUCUCUGAAAGAUAUAUUGUGAUACAUUUGGGUUAUUCUAAUUUGCAUUUUAUUUCAUUGCAUUGUUACUUUUAGUGCUUUCAUUUUUAAAAAAAUAUUUAAAUGGUUCUAUCUCUAAGGACUGUAGUUACCAGCUCAUACAUUCUUAAUGUAUUUUGGCCAGCAGACUUUGAAGAGCUAUGGUAGGCACCUUUCCUCCCAUUCUGGUGCUCACCUUUUGACAUUUAGUUCAUUAGACAAAAGAGCAUUUUAAAAAAUGACUGACUUUAUCUGAGACUAUGAAUGCAGUGAUAUUAGGACGUAGCAGCUGUCAGAUGGCAUGCACGCAUUCUCUCCUUCCAUUCUCACCUCCCUCUUCCUCUCUGUUUUCUGCCCUUUUUUGAGAGAGGAUAUUAGACUUCUUGCUAAAGUCAUAUGAAAAUACACUUGUUAUCCAAAGCCUAUCUCUGAGAAGGAUACUGGUCCCAUUGGUAAUAGAGAUUGCCUUGGGAGAGGUGAACCAGGCCAACAGCUGGGAGAGGAGAGGGAAACUUUUCACUGUAGCUUUUAUAACUUUUGAUUUCCAAACUGGAUUGCUAUUACUUUAAAAAAAUUAUUUUUUGGUAUUACUUUUGUGUUGUUGUUGAUAUAUUUUUAUUUAUUUUUUUAAUUUAAAUUUAUUUAUUUUAAUUGGAGGCUAAUUACAAUAUUGUAUUGGUUCUGCCACACAUGAACAUGAAAACAAAGGCUUAUGUAAGAUCAGUGCUUGUCAUUAUUGUGGAUCUUUAAAAGCUAACUUUAAAACCUGUGCUGUUGCGUGCGAUAAACUUCAGUAUGUAAGGGCAGAAAAUGAGAUGAAGGCAGUGCAAUUUAGGUAUAUGUGAUAUUUGGGCAGAACUGCCUGCCAUUCUAUUUACUAAACAUCACUUAACAUAACAUUUCUGGACUAUAGGUACAGCAUAAAGGAAACUGACUUUCAUAGAAAUACUUCCCUUGGGCCAUUAGUAUAAGGCUGAGACCUUCCACUGACCUACAUUCCUGGAUAAAGCUGGGGUAUGAGAAUGACUACUGAGUGAUCUUCUUCAUGUGUUUCUGUCUCAUGGAAGCCGUUUCUAGCCAAGCACUGCUUGAGGCCAGCUGGCAGAUGCAGGUUCCAAUUUUCUGUUGUGAUUCCCUGACUUUGGUGUUCUCCAUGGGGCUUAUCCUUUCUCCAUCGAUUGAGUUUUGACAAGUGCAGUGGCACAAAUAUGACUGGAAACCAUGAGCUCCUCUCUGGCCACACUGGUGGUGCAUGUCUCUUAAAGGGACCAAGAGGAUGCCUGGAGGCUUCAAAGCCCCCUGAGGAGUUAGAUCUCUAGACGUCUUUGUUUGAGGAUAGACUUUGGAAAUGAACUUUCAGGGAAUCCUUCAACCUAAUUGGAAUUGGCUGUUGUCCCUGAGGCCUUGUACCGAUUAGACUUGUGCUGUCUGAUAAGGGAACCACUAGCUAUAUGUGGCUAUUUAAAUUGAAAUAAAAUGGAAAGACUGGGUUCCCCAGUCAUGCUAGUGACAGUAGCCACGUGGGGCUGGUGCCUCCUGUACCAAACUGAGCAGAUACAGACCGUUUCCAUUAUGGUAGAAUGUCCUAUGGGCCAGAGCUAAAUUGUUCAGGCAUGGCAGCAGUGUACGCAGAUGUGUGGCCUGAGGGGAUCGCCCUCCUGGUGCCAUAAAGGCCUCCCUAAUCCUAACGGUCCUUUGAGGAUUGUCUGAAUUCCAGUCCUCCAGCAAAUGUAUCCUGACCACUCCAACCCACAGUGAUGACUCCCUUCUUUGAACACUAGGGUGCCUGAAAGAUGUGAUGACACGUUGUUUUAUUGAUAUCACACUUUUGCCUUUGAAGUUAGUUCUCAUCUUCCCAGCAAGGCUGCAGGGCCCUCAAGAGCAGAGCUUCAACCCCACACUGCCUGCUAGAUGCAUCUAUAUGUGACACAAAACUUCUCUUUUCAUUGCAAAAUGCUUGUCAGAAGCAUUUAUCAAAACCCUCCUUUUCUCCAACUGCCUUUUUAUGCUUUCUUUGCUCUUAUCUUCAAUAGUUACAAGAAUCAGUGUGUAGGACACAAUGUCAGCUUUAACAACCAUUUAUUUUUUGAGGAAGGUCAACAUGCUUAUUAUUGGGUAUUACAGUCUCACUUUCUGUCUUGGUGAGGGGGUGAGGGUGAGGAAGGUUUCAGAAACACUGGUGUUAGAUCUUGAAAACACUUUGGAGAAAGUUGAUAUCUUCCUCAUCAUUUCAGACCCCUGUUCUAGAGGAAGUAUGGGGCUUUUCAAAGUCUGUGAACAACCAAAGGAGAAAUGUGAUCAGUUACCAGGCUUUCCAGUUGCUGUCAGGCCCUGGGGAGUGACCAUUUAGGAUUCAGAAAUAAGUAGUUAUGUAAUAGCUUUUGUUUUUAAAAGUGCUUUCACAAAGAGUAUUUUGCUCCUUCUGACAGCCUUGGGAAGAAAGCAGGAGAAACCCAGUGAGAUCAGAUGCCUUGUCUAAGGUCACAUGGGUAGCCUGAUGAGCUAAUUUCACACAAGAAGGUUAACUUUCAACUCUUAACAGUACUGGUGUCCGUUUCAAAAUGUCCAGGCAAAAGCAGCUAUGCACUACAAAAGGCUAUCAUUUCUCCACUGUUUGGGUACAUUUUCAGUUGUCUGAUCCCAAGUGAUCUGUUUGUUAUGUGAGCUAUACAGGACUUGUGUGGCCAAUGAAAGUCUCCAUUUGGACUCAUUGUUCUAUACCACUUGUCUUGUGCAAAGGGCUCUUAAAGCAUCUAAUAGUUUAUCUUAACAAAAUAAUUGUUGUAUCUGUAAGGACAGAAAUGAGCAUUUAUCUUUGUUGCUGAUGCAUUGUGACAAGAUGUCAUAAAAAGACACAGGGCAAUAAAGCACAUAGCUUCUUAUUUCUAGUAAAAGACAUGGUUCUCCUAGACUUCUUGCAAAUCCUCAGUUUUUCUCUUUAGCAAUAUAACCUUAGGAACCUCAAGGAUCUAUGAUUAAAACUAAGGUAGCAGAUAGCAAAUUUAACCCCAAAUAAACGUGGGAGGGGUAAUAGUUUAGCUCUUCAGAUCAAUAAUGCAGUACUGGAAUGUGCUGAUAGUUUAAACAAAAUAAGAACAACCAAGAAAUUAAAAGGAAAAAGCCAAAAUUUGUAAAGGUAAAGACUUGAAUGGAGAGAUCUCUUCUGAAAAAGUAAGAAAAAGAGUUAGUUACAGAAUUCAAGCAUAUACUGCAAGGCCACAUUCUGAAAAUCUCGAGGGGAAGAAUAAAGCUUUGUUUUUGCAAUUUGUGGGUCUUGUUAAAAAUGUAGAUUCCUGGUCACCAUUUCCAGGUCUCCUUCAAGACACCCUUCUGCUGCUGCUUUUUUUUUUCCUUCUGCUGCUUUGAUCUGCUUUGUGGGCAGCACCAUGGACUUCACUUGGAAAAAGAAUAUGGGAUAGAGCCUCAAGACCUGUGAUGUUUGAGCCCUGGCUCAGCCACCUGCUGGCUGUGCCACCUCAGGCAGGUCAUUUGCCUCUAUUUUCUCCUCUUUGAGAGACAACUUCAAGACUUGCAAGGAAGCAUGGUGUGAUAAGCUUUAGUGACUGUUACCUUGUCAAUAUAAUGGAAAUGAUGCUUCACAGGGUGGAUGUGAGAAAAGCACUUAGCAGAAUGCCUGGUACAUGGGUGGUCCCUAAUAAAUGUUACUCCCAGUACCUGUCACCCCUUUGCUGUGAGGUUUAAAAUCAGAUAACUGCAUAAUAACCUGCAAAUUGCAAUCUACAUACAUACUAAGGGAGAAGGAAAUGGCAACCCACUCCAGUAUCCUUGCCUGGAGAGUCCCAUGGACAAAGGAGCCUGGAGGGCUACAAUCCAUGGGGUCGCAAAGAGUCAGACAUGACUGAGCGACUCACAUACACACACAUACAUACUAGUCAUAUUAUUUCAUCCUCAUAUUGCUGGUGAGUGGGUGUGCUGCAAGGCAAGAGCCAUUCAAUGUGAUGGGCAAGGGGGGUGAAUGAUCAAAACUCCUAUGUUCAAAAUGACAUAACAGAGCUUCAUUCUAAAAUGAUAAAUUUGUUCUACCUGAAGUGUCAUCGUUUGAGGACUAUUGGCUGGUCAGGUCACUUCUGCGUUGAUAAGAGGGUGAGAAACUGCCAAGACAAAGGUGCAAUACUAGCUUAAGCCUCUGCCCUUUGAUGGACAGGAAACACUAGAAACCCUGAAGGGAGCACAACCAUUGUGGCAUCGCACAUAGAAAUCUCAGGGCCCCUCAGUCUCAAAGAAUUAUCUUCUGGGACUUGGUUAUUCCUAGGCAUGACUUCUCAUAAUUCUUGCUAAUUAGGACACCCAGGAUUGGCACCAGACUCAGACAAGGGCUGCCGCUGGCAGGUAAUUUCAAGGGCUCAUGUGUCCCAGGUCACAAAACAAUGUCAGCCCUCCUGGAGCUUGGAACAAAUAGAACAUUUUUGAUCCUUCUCGGAGCAAAGAUAAUGAUAGUGGAGGUCUUAAGAGAAGAGGAGACAAGGGGAGGUCCAUUUUACUACUCCAAUCUUUGAAAUGAUUCUUAACCAUUGUGAGGUCUGGAGCAAGAAGGUGGUAGUAUGAGGUUGCAGCAGCCUGGAGGGGACAGAGCGGAGAUGGUGGCUCAGGUGCUGGCUUUGCUCUGUGGACCUUCCUCACCCAUUGGAAUGCAGAAGCAGCAGGGUCCCAGAAAGGCCUGCAAUAGGCUGGGGGAGGUGGCUGGGCUAGGUGUGCCAUGGUAAGGGUGGACAAAAAGGAUGGGGCAAAUCAAAGGCAAGAUGAGAGAAGCAUGAGAGAUGAGAGAAGCUCUCCACGCCAACACCUAUUGUCGGUAUGGAGAACAGAGUAUUAUGGUGAAAGUUUUGGAUUUGAGGCAGUUUAUGGAUUAAGAUACUGAGGAUAGGAUACAUAAAGGGAUAAACUGGGACAGAACAAUCUAAGGGACUGGUUCUUAACGUUGGCUGCACAGCACAACCAUCUGGAGAAAUAUUACAAAUAGGCGUGCUUGGACCCUGCCCCAAAUGAACAGGAAUCCCUGAGGCUGGGGCAAGCAUUGUUCUCUUUUCUAAGUUGCCUAGAUGACUUUAGCAUGAAGUGAGGUUGAGAAUUCCUUAUCUAAAGGAAGGAGGGGAAGGGGCAGAUGCUACUAAAUGGCCAGACACAAGUCCGUUAACUCAGUGGUUCUUAACACUGCCUGUUCGUCAAAAUCACCCAGGGCCCAGGCUGCAACCCAGACCAACUGAAUCCGAAUCUCUGGGGAUGGGACGCUGGGCGUCAGUUGUUAAAGUUGAUUCCAGGGUGCAGCCAGGGUUGAGAACCUCUGUGUAACAGUUCCCACACAGGGCUGUCCAUCAGCUUCAUGUGGGUAGAAGUUGAGGCAUUCCUGACUUAGUUGAAAUUUGACUCUGAUGGUGCUAAGGCUGUUGUUCUGACAAGACAAGCCCUUGCUGUCAUGAAACUUAUACUCAAGUGAAUCCUCUACCAGAGGAUGAGGGCAGGAAUAUUUGACAGCUUUGUUUACUUCUGAAUCUCUAGCCCUUGGCACAUAGUAGGCACUUGAUAAAUGUUGAAUAAAUGACUAAAUGGUGACCUAAGUGCUGUGGAGAAAAUAAUGGCAGGAUAAGGGGGAUGGUUUGGGUUUAUGUGUGUGUACACACAUGCUGGGGGAUGGUUAAAGUGAAGCAAAAGUAAUACAAAACAGGAGGAUCUAGGAGGAUCUGUAGUUUCAGUCUCCUCAGAGGCUUCCUAAGAGGGCUUUAGGUGGAGGGAAUUUCCUGGGAUCACACUAAGGAGUGGCCCAGAUUUUUGGAAAGCUGCCUAAGAAGGGUACCCUGCAAAGCAGAUGGAGCCAGCAUUCAUUUCCCUCAGCCAGCGCCCCUUCCUCUUGGAAGCAUCUGUUCCCUCGCUGCCCCCACCAGGCCCUCCAGUUCCAGGGACUCACUCCUUGCGUGCCAUUGUUCUCAGGUGCUAAGGGGCUUACUCUAUGCACUUAACUCGGGGACAGUAACUUCAACCAGGGGUUGGCCCCUACUGGGAGUGCUUCCUGAGGUCCACUCAAGGCACACCACCACACCCUUACUUUAAGGCACUCCCUCAUUUCUGUCAGGGUUCCACUGGUUAAUACUGAGGGGAGCCAGUGAAAAAUAUUUACCUUAAGACUGCUCAAAUUCUCCAGACAUGGACAUUCAAGACUUUCUGUGACCAAAACACAAUAUUGGAAAACAGUUAUUUCUGAGACAUGUAUACAUUUUGGCAAAAAAUAACCUCAAUAAUUUCAUCAGAGAAUCGCAGAAACUAGGCAAGCAGAAGAAACCGAAAGAGGUGAGAUCCUCAAAUUCUGGGCACAGGUCUUGGGGAAGAUGCCUCUAACAUGCCAAGCUCAUCCCAUCUAGGGUCCCUUGCACUUACUGAACUCUGUGUGUGGGACCCUCUGCUUCCAGAUCUUGUGGUCACUUCCUUCCCAUUAUUAAGAUCUGAUGUUUCUAGACUUCUUGGACCAAACUAAUCUAGCCAGUCAUUCUAUAUCACUUGGGCUCUUUAUUAUUUUUUUUCAUAUUCAUUCAUGAGUUUCACAAAUAUGUACUGAGUAUCUACUCUGUGCUUCUUUUGUAGACACAUGGGGAUACAGUGAACAGAGAAAAAUCCCUGCCCUCAUGGAACUAACAUUCUAGGGAAGGGAGAGAGUCAAUAAACAAUUUUUUAAAAAAAGCUUUCAGAUGGUACAAAUGCUAGGGAUAAAAUUAAAGCAGGGAGUGCUGGGGUGGCAUUGGGGUUUCAGUUUUAAAGAAAACUGUUCAGGGAAUUUUUGACUUCGAAUAUAAUAUUUCAGCAAAGAUCUGAAGAAGAUAAAUGUUCAUGUGGCUGGAGUGGAGUGAUUAAGAGGGAUCAUAAAGAGAGGUGGUCAGACAGGUCACCAGGAGGGGGGAGUGGAAUCCAGACCAUGUGUGGCCUUGUAAGCCAUUGUAAAGACCCUGGCUUUUAUCCUGGGUGAAAUGGGAAGUACUUAUUCCUAUCAAAAAUUAUUGGGUUUAUGUGCUGUACUCAGUUGCUCAGUCCUGUCCCACUCUUCACCACCCCAGAGGAAGCCCUAUUGUGUUUAUAUCCCCUUCCCAGUUAGAAGGAGGUGAAGACUUUGUCUCUCAUUCGCAGCUGUAUCUUCACAACUUAGAACAGUGUCCAGCCCGAAGAAAGUGCUCAGUGACUCUGUUGAAUGUGAAUGAAUGCAUGAACUGGACAGGUGCAAUAUUAAAUAUUACCACAGGAUACCUAUGUCUAAGCAUGACUCACUGCAGUGAAGUUGAAGAAAACAAUGACAUUGAAUUCAGAUUUAGGAGACUUGGGAUCUAUAUUCUGACUGACAGUAUGACCUUGGACAAGUCACUUCCCUACCCUGAACCUCAGUCUCUUCAGCUGUAAAAUAAGGUUAUACUAGCUACUUUCUGGCUCUGACAGCUUAUGAUUCCAUAAUACAGGAAACACACCAGUGAUGUAUCAUCCUCUGACGAUGACCUGUUUAUGGGCUUCUGGCAACUUACUUCCAUUCUAUGAUUCAUCUUUUAAUGAAUGUUAUUCCCACUCUCAUUUGGAGAGGAUAUAUUUCUUGAGUAACUUCUUGAGUGGGUGCAGGCUUGAAACAACCAAGGCCAACUCCAGCUCUGUAGUUGGAGUUUUCAGGCCAUCUUUACAGUAAACAUGAUACCCCUACCUCAGUGCUGUCCCAUUGUUAGAGCCACAUUGAUCCUUUGAGGUUUAAAAGAAUAGAGGACCAAACUCAACUCAUAAAUAAUGAGUCAGUUUUAACAGAGACAGAAUUAAAGUGGGGUCCACCCUAGCCAGGAUUUAAUUUAAGCAAAUAAAUGUAGUUUUAAUUUUUAGCUUUAAAAGCUUUUAAAUAUAUUUUACUAGGGCUAACCUAGUUAUACAAAGCAAGCAUACGUUCUUAAAGAGAUGAUUAAAUCCUAGUAGCAUGGGCUGUAGUCUACAUAUAGAUGUCAUAAACCUUUAUUUCCUGGAUAUUUCCCACUGGAUCAUGGUAACUGUAAACUUAUAGUCACACUACAUACUUUUCACCACAAUUAUUACUGGAAUCUUACUAGUGUUUCAGAAAAAGCAAACUAGUUCAUCACACUAACUGGUUAACUGACUCAGUAUUCCUCCAAUUUAGAUCAGCCUACUGGAAAACUCAGUAUUCAGCAAUGCGAUGAACAAACUCUUUAAAUACAAUCUAAUUUAAAGUAAGAAAAGAAAUCAAUCCAACGUUCUGUAACCUUGGCACUUGGAUCUGUGGAACGCUCAUCAUCAAAACUAAAGAAAAGAUACAAGACAUUUCAUUUUCUUUGUAUUUUAUAUGUAGGAAUGAAUAAUGAUUAAUGAAUAUAAUGACUGUUAAAGAACCAUCUGUCCAAGUCUUUAUUUAUAUAGAUGCAAACCUGGUAUGGUAUGUCUGUGAGUUCUCAAAAUAAAAAUGACAGCUACAUUGA